rnacentral:tRNA from 1 species
GGGCGCUUGGUCUAGGGGUAUGAUUUGUGAGUCAACCCAUUGAAACUCUGGGUUUCGCUCGGGUUCUGAUAAUUAUUCAGUCGCUUCGCAUCAAUGCUCCUGCAUUCUAUGCGUAUUUGUGAGUAGUUCCACGAACUUCUCUAUGAAAUUAGGGUUCUGAUGAUGGUUCAGGUGAAAGGUCGUGGGUUCAAUUCCCACAGCGUCCA